rnacentral:rRNA from 1 species
UGGGGAAUAUUGGACAAUGGGGGCAACCCUGAUCCAGCGAUGCCGCGUGAGUGAAGAAGGCCUUCGGGUUGUAAAACUCUUUUGUUAGGGAAGAUAAUGACGGUACCUAACGAAUAAGCACCGGCUAACUUCGUGCCAGCAGCCGCGGUAAUACGAAGGGUGCAAGCGUUGUUCGGAAUUACUGGGCGUAAAGGGCGUGUAGGCGGUCAUAUGCGUCAGGUGUGAAAUCCCCGGGCUCAACCUGGGAAUUGCAUUUGAUACGGUAUGACUAGAGAUCGGUAGAGGGUAGUGGAAUUGCGAGUGUAGAGGUGAAAUUCGUAGAUAUUCGCAGGAACACCAGUGGCGAAGGCGACUACCUGGGCCGAUACUGACGCUGAGGCGCGAAAGCGUGGGGAGCAAACAGG